GACAAGAGGAUGGAGCCAGGCUCUUCUCAGUGAUGCCAAGCAAUAGGACAAGAGACAAUGGACAGAAACUGAUGCUCAGGAAUUUCCACCUGAGUAUGAGGAAGAACUUCUUUACUUUGUGGGUGAAUGAGCACUGG